AUUGAACGCUGGCGGCAUGCCUUACACAUGCAAGUCGAACGGCAGCACGGGAGCAAUCCUGGUGGCGAGUGGCGAACGGGUGAGUAAUAUAUCGGAACGUGCCCAGUCGUGGGGAUAACGUAGCGAAAGCUACGCUAAUACCGCAUACGAUCUAUGGAUGAAAGCGGGGGAUCGCAAGACCUCGCGCGAUUGGAGCGGCCGAUAUCAGAUUAGGUAGUUGGUGAGGUAAAGGCUCACCAAGCCGACGAUCUGUAGCUGGUCUGAGAGGACGACCAGCCACAAUGGGACUGAGACACGGCCCAGACUCCUACGGGAGGCAGCAGUGGGGGAAUUUUGGACAAUGGGCGCAAGCCUGAUCCAGCAAUGCCGCGUGCAGGAUGAAGGCC
rnacentral:rRNA from 1 species